rnacentral:piRNA from 1 species
UCUUGAUGCUGAUCUCCUGAUAGUGAG